AUUGAACGCUGGCGGCAGGCCUAACACAUGCAAGUCGAACGAGUGGCGGACGGGUGAGUAAUGUCUGGGACACUGCCUGAUGGAGGGGGAUCACCACUGGAAACGGUAGCUAAUACCGUAUUACAUGGUAUGUGCACAGAUGGGAUUAGCUAGUAUGUGGGGUAAAGGCUCACCUAGGCGACGAUCCAUAUCUGGUCUGAGAGGAUGCCCAGCCACACUGGAACUGAGACACGGUCCAGACUCCUACGGGAGGCAGCAGUGGGGAAUAUUGCACAAUGGGCGCAAGCCUGAUGCAGCCAUGCCGCGUGUAUGAAGAAGGCCUUCGGGUUGUAAAGUACUUUCAGCGGGGAGGCGUUACCCGCAGAAGAAGCACCGGCUAACUCCGUGCCAGCCGCCGCGGUAAUUC
rnacentral:rRNA from 1 species